CUUGCGCAGUCACACAUCACGAUCGCGACGGUCAGUACACCAAUACGUUCAUUCUCGAGGAGUAUCUUAUUCAUUGUUAAAGUCUGACAUCAGCAACCACGCCCCCUGAGCGCAUCGACUGCUGCUUACAACUGUCAAGAACUUUGCAAUUUUGCUUGUCUUCAAUAUGAGCAACAAAACAUUUUCAUGUGAAGCCAAAUUGGACGAAGAGUUGUUCGAGAUAAUCAGGGAGCCUUUGGUCCUUUCGAUUAUGACAUUGGUGACUUUAUCGUGGAGAAAGUUCCAAUUCAAGAUGACAUCAUUCCGAUUCACAACUCGAAUCGACAAGAUGGCGCCUCUCUUCUCGCCCUUGCAAGUGCAAAAGAAACUUUGAUAAAUUCAGUGACGAUUUUUGUGAAUAGUGAAUCAGUUUCACAGCUAGAAAUCAUUGUGGAACCAGAUGAAGCUGAAUAUGUCUACUGACUUCUUUUGUCAACCAUGCGUGACACGGCAAGGCAAUCGAAGUUAGGGAAUGGUGCGGCCACCAUGUUGCAGAAAUUCGUCGAUUCGAACACAUUGCUUGUGGAUUGAGCUAAAUAAACGAAGUGUUUGGAGAGAUUUCAGAUACUUGGACUUGAAGAAACGGAUAUUAAACGUUGCAGCAGAUGAAGGAUUGGUGUGGACCAAACAGGAAAGGGAUCCCAGAUUGUAUUUUAAAACUUGUGCGCGAAGUGUAUCCAAAUACCCCGAACAAAAAAUACAUGGGACAAGUGUGGAUCUAAUGAUCAAACUCAGUUUUGUGUGUGAAAAUUCUGUGAAAGAAAAGGCAAUUCAUUAUUAAAGUUCUCUUGGAA